CAGUAGCCACGGUAAUACGGAGGGUGCAAGCGUUAAUCGGAAUUACUGGGCGUAAAGCGCACGCAGGCGGUCUGUCAAGUCAGAUGUGAAAUCCCCGGGCUUAACCUGGGAACUGCAUUUGAAACUGGCAGGCUAGAGUCUUGUAGAGGGGGGUAGAAUUCCAGGUGUAGCGGUGAAAUGCGUAGAGAUCUGGAGGAAUACCGGUGGCGAAGGCGGCCCCCUGGACAAAGACUGACGCUCAGGUGCGAAAGCGUGGGGAGCAAACAGGAUUAGAGACCCCUGUAGUCCCUGUCUCUUAUAA
rnacentral:rRNA from 1 species